rnacentral:rRNA from 1 species
AAGGCAGCCCCCUGGGCCAACACUGACGCUCAGGCACGAAAGCGUGGGGAGCAAAAGGGAUUAGAUACCCCUGUAGUCCACGCCCUAAACGAUGGAUGCUAAGUGUUGGACUUCGGUUCAGUGCUUCAAGCUAACGCAUUAAGCAUCCCGCCUGAGGAGUACGGUCGCAAGAUUAAAACUCAAAUGAAUAGACGGGGACCCGCACAAGCAGUGGAUCAUGUGGUUUAAUUCGACACUAAACGAGGAACCUCACCUAGGCUUGACAUUGAUAGAAUUUUCCAGAAAUGGAGGAGUGCCCGCAAGGGAACUUGAAAACAGGUGCUGCAUGGUUGUCGUCAGCUCGUGCCUUGAGGUGUUCGGUUAAGUCCGUUAACGAGCGCAACCCACGUCGUAUGUUACUAUGUCAUACGAGACUGCUCGAGUUAAUCGAGAGGAAGGUGUGGAUGACGUCAAAUCAGCAUGGCCCUUAUGCCUAGGGCUACACACAUGAUACAAUGGUCGGUACAAACUGUCGCGACAUCGCGAGAUGAAGCUAAUCAGAAAAAGCCGAUCUCAGUCCAGAUUGGAGUCUGCAACUCGACUCCAUGAAGUUGGAAUUGCUAGUAAUCGUGAAUCAGCUAUGUCACGGUGAAUCUGUUCCCGGGUCUUGUACUCACCGCCCGUCAAACCAUGGGAGGUGUGCGUACCUGAAGUCCUUCGAGUAAUACGGAGGCCCACGGUAAACACACUGACUGGGGUUAAGUCGUAACAAGGUAUCCGUACGAGAACGUGCGGAUG